AGUGGCAGUUGUAAGCUAUACGUUGGAUGCACUUGUAUAAAGCAGAUCCUUUGGGGUUAUUCACCCUCGAGCCCCACCAUGGGUGCUUGGCGUUGAGGUCGCCUGCGAGGAUGAAUUUGUCGCCCAAGUCGCCUAGAUGGAGGCCGAACUGGUCUUCGGAAACUCUCUGUUUAGGAGGAAUAUAGGCCGACGCGAUGGUAAGCUUUCCCAUUACAGUGGAGACUGCAAUUCUGGCGCACUGGACCCACUCUUCCUUGGGGGAAGUGCGCGGGCCUUGGCUUUCUUGUAAGCCGGGCAACCUUUGUAUAAUGCAGGGUAGGCCCCGUGGCAGUGCAUACAUUUUGCCGCUUCUUCACGUGUCUUCCUACACUCGCUUGUGCUGUGGUGAUCGCCACAUUUGACACAGCGUGCUGCAGCUUGCUACAUCGGGACCCUCGAUGUUAGUAAGGCCUUUGAUGCUGUAGCUCACGAAGUCAUGACAUAUACUGUUGUGUCGAUAUUUUCUCCUCGGACCUUGAAAAUUUAUGGUGGGGAUACACAAACUUCUCAACCGGCCGUACCAAUAUCCGCAGCUGGUCUCCAAGCUGAAAAGUCUCUAGUCGAUAGAAUAAUGUAGGUAAGGGAAGUCGGCAAAUUAGAUCCGUAACUUCGGGAUAAGGAUUGGCUCUGAAGAUUGAGAUAGUCGGGCUUGGUUGGGAAACAAUAAUAUGGUUUAUGUGUUCGUUCUGGGUAAAUAGAGUUUCGACCAUUUAUGAUUGUAACUUGUUCCCCGGAUAGUUAAUUACGUAUCCAAUUGUGGAACUUUCUUGCUCAAAUUUUUAAGAAUACUAGUUGGGUCAAACCAAUUAGCUCUUAUUAAUUAUAACGAUUAUCAAUUAACAAUCAAUUCAGAACUGACACGGUCUUGGGGAAUCCGACUGUCUAAUUAGAACAAAGCAUUGUGAU
rnacentral:ncRNA from 1 species